rnacentral:rRNA from 1 species
CAGCCGCCGCGGGAAUACCGAGGGUGCAAGCGUUAAUCGGAAUUACUGGGCGUAAAGCGCGCGUAGGUGGUUUGUUAAGUUGGAUGUGAAAUCCCCGGGCUCAACCUGGGAACUGCAUCCAAAACUGGCAAGCUAGAGUAUGGUAGAGGGUGGUGGAAUUUCCUGUGUAGCGGUGAAAUGCGUAGAUAUAGGAAGGAACACCAGUGGCGAAGGCGACCACCUGGACUGAUACUGACACUGAGGUGCGAAAGCGUGGGGAGCAAACAGGAUUAGAUACCCCAGUAGUCCCUGUCUCUUAUAC